rnacentral:rRNA from 1 species
UACGUAGGGGGCAAGCGUUGUCCGGAGUUACUGGGCGUAAAGCGCACGCAGGCGGUCUCUUAAGUUUGGAGUGACAGUUGGUGGCUUAACUGCCAAAGUGCUUCGAAAACUGAGAGACUUGAGGGCUUCAGAGGGACACGGAAUUCCGGGUGGAGUGGUGAAAUGCGUAGAGAUUCGGAGGAACACCAAAGGCGAAGGCAGUGUCCUGGGGAGUACCUGACGCUCAGGUGCGAAAGCCAGGGGAGCGAACGGG